rnacentral:rRNA from 1 species
AGAGUUUGAUCCUGGCUCAGGACGAACGCUGGCGGCAUGCCUAAUACAUGCAAGUCGAACGCUUUGACUUCACCGGGUGCUUGCACCCACCGAAGUCAAGGAGUGGCGGACGGGUGAGUAACACGUGGGUAACCUGCCCAUAAGAGGGGGAUAACAUUCGGAAACGGAUGCUAAUACCGCAUAUUUCUAAACGUCACAUGACGAAUAGAAGAAAGGUGGCUUCGGCUACCGCUCAUGGAUGGACCCGCGGCGUAUUAGCUAGUUGGUGAGGUAAUGGCUCACCAAGGCGAUGAUACGUAGCCGACCUGAGAGGGUGAUCGGCCACACUGGGACUGAGACACGGCCCAGACUCCUACGGGAGGCAGCAGUAGGGAAUCUUCCGCAAUGGACGAAAGUCUGACGGAGCAAUGCCGCGUGAGUGAAGAAGGUUUUCGGAUCGUAAAACUCUGUUGUUAGAGAAGAACAAGGAUGAGAGUAACUGCUCAUCCCCUGACGGUAUCUAACCAGAAAGCCACGGCUAACUACGUGCCAGCAGCCGCGGUAAUACGUAGGUGGCAAGCGUUGUCCGGAUUUAUUGGGCGUAAAGCGAGCGCAGGCGGUUCUUUAAGUCUGAUGUGAAAGCCCCCGGCUCAACCGGGGAAGGUCAUUGGAAACUGGGGAACUUGAGUGCAGAAGAGGAGAGUGGAAUUCCACGUGUAGCGGUGAAAUGCGUAGAUAUGUGGAGGAACACCAGUGGCGAAGGCGACUCUCUGGUCUGUAACUGACGCUGA